rnacentral:rRNA from 1 species
GACGAACGCUGGCGGCGCGCUUAACACAUGCAAGUCGAGCGAGAACCGGGACUUCGGUCCUGGGGACAGCGGCGAACGGGUGAGUAACACGUGGAUAACCUGCCCUCGGCACCGGGAUAGCCCGGGGAAACCCGGAUUAAUACCUGAUACUCUCUCGGAUUCUCGGAUCCGUGAGAAAAGGUGGCUUCGGCUUCCGGUCGAGGACGGGCCCGCGGCCGAUUAGCUUGUGGUGGGGUAACGGCUCACCAAGGCGACGAUCGGUAGCUGGUCUGGGAGGACGAUCAGCCACACUGGGACUGAGACACGGCCCAGACUCCUACGGGAGGCAGCAGUGGGGAAUCUUGCGCAAUGGGCGAAAGCCUGACGCAGCGACGCCGCGUGAGGGAAGAAGGCCUUCGGGUUGUAAACCUCUUUCAGGAGGGACGAAGCCACUCGGGUUAAUAGCCCAGAGGGUGACGGUACCUCCAGAAGAAGCCCCGGCUAACUACGUGCCAGCAGCCGCGGUAACAC